CGCUCUCAGCCUAUCGCGCUAGCAAAGCUGCUCAGCCAUCGCACCUCUGUUGCUCCAGCGCCCUCAUCUCCCCUGUCCCGACGUGCAGGUCUUCACUCUUCACGGAUGCUGCUCAACGCUCGUUCUUCCUGUUCUUGGCUCUCACCUUCAGAUCGCUCGGCCCUAGCUCCUCCUACCAACAAGUGUCGCCAUGCUCUAGGUCCCCGGCUCCGACUCGUCUCCCUCGACUAGAAGUCAUCGCGCCAGCAGCCACUUUGUGGCGCCACGCUCAGCCCCAUCCUCAAGCUACACUCGCCGAAUAGCAUCCUCCUCGUCGCGCUCGGAAGCAGCUACUUAACUCAUUUUUUCCUUCCUGUGGUGCGUCGUCGCGUGGAGCUGCUGAACGCCGACGUCUCCAGCUUCUGUAUCGCCAUGCCGGCGCUCGUCUCCCCAACACCGUUGUUGCCUACUGCGCCUACUACUCGCUCUACAGCAGCUCGCCGGCUCCCUGGAAAUUCCCCAGUCAUCGGCCGACUUCCUUGCCUCACCGUUCGCCGCGUCGUCAUCCCUGCUGUCUCGCGACGUCGUGCUCCUCACACUUUAUUUCCUCCAUGUCGGUGAUGCUUACUGAAAACCUGAAUCACGUCAUCGGUGAAUCAAUCGUUUGGUGGAGUAAUUUUCUGGAGACUGGUCAUCACCCUGAAGACUUGUGACAUUUUAUUUUCUUAGUCUUCGGCUCUCUUCUCUGCAUCAAAGGCAAGCCCCGGUGCAUCCACCACCUUCCUUGUCGUUUACAAAACUUUUAUCACUUGAUAUGAUGCAUUAGGUGAUAUGAGUUGCGUGAUCAAACAAUUGAUGCAUUACCAUCCUUGAGAAUUUGAAUAAUCAUUCCUUGAUACCUAUUUUAUGAAAAACUAGUGUCGCUUAGCCCUGCUUAAAGUGAUAAGAUUUUGAAAUUUAUUUUGAUUACUGGUUAUUGUUAUGUGUGAAUGAACUUGAGUUAGAUAAUUAAUAUGAGACCGGGUGGGUGGCUUGCAUCGUGAAAUGAGUCAGUGUAGUGCUCCGCCUGUGUCGAUUAAGGACCGUUUGAUGUAGGCCUGUUGUGGUUGAGACUUUGCAACUAGCCACAUGCCCCG